rnacentral:rRNA from 1 species
UGGGGAAUUUUGGACAAUGGGCGAAAGCCUGAUCCAGCCAUGCCGCGUGAGUGAAGAAGGCCUUCGGGUUGUAAAGCUCUUUUAGUCGGAAAGAAAGAGUUGCAAUGAAUAAUUGUGAUUUAUGACGGUACCGACAGAAAAAGCACCGGCUAACUACGUGCCAGCAGCCGCGGGAAUACGUAGGGUGCGAGCGUUAAUCGGAAUUACUGGGCGUAAAGGGUGCGCAGGCGGUCUUGCAAGUCAGAUGUGAAAGCCCCGGGCUUAACCUGGGAAUUGCGUUUGAAACUACAAGGCUAGAGUGCAGCAGAGGGGAGUGGAAUUCCAUGUGUAGCAGUGAAAUGCGUAGAGAUGUGGAAGAACACCGAUGGCGAAGGCAGCUCCCUGGGUUGACACUGACGCUCAUGCACGAAAGCGUGGGGAGCAAACA